rnacentral:rRNA from 1 species
AGUGAACGCUGGCGGUAGGCCUAACACAUGCAAGUCGAACGGCAGCACAGUAAGAGCUUGCUCUUACGGGUGGCGAGUGGCGGACGGGUGAGGAAUACAUCGGAAUCUACUUUUUCGUGGGGGAUAACGUAGGGAAACUUACGCUAAUACCGCAUACGACCUACGGGUGAAAGCAGGGGAUCUUCGGACCUUGCGCGAUUGAAUGAGCCGAUGUCGGAUUAGCUAGUUGGCGGGGUAAAGGCCCACCAAGGCGACGAUCCGUAGCUGGUCUGAGAGGAUGAUCAGCCACACUGGAAGAGAGACGCGGUCCAGACCCCUACGAGGGAGAGCAGGGGGAAAUUUGGGACAAGGGGCGCGAGCCUGAUCCAGCCAUACCGCGGGUGAAGAAGGCCUUCGGGUUGUAAAGCCCUUUUGUUGGGAAAGAAAAGCAGCAGGUUAAUACCCCGCUGUUCUGACGGUACCCAAAGAAUAAACACCGGCUAACUUCGU